ACUUAAAAAUAACAGAGGUGCAACUUCAGCUGUAUGAACAACCUUUCAUGUAGAAAAAGUAUCCUUAUAAGGUGGUGCAACAUUACAAGUAGGUAACAAAGAGCUAAGUCAGCUUAUAAGUCAGAUUGCCCAUUCUGCCAGAGCACAGCCGGGUUGCCUUAGCACUUUGUCAGAGCUUUCCUUGACAUUUUCGCAGUACUCUUUUUAUUCAUCCUGAGUGUAAUGUGUAAGUAAAAUGUAUUUUCUUGGAUAAUAUCAUUAUAGAACAAUUGAGCCAGAGUUCUGGGCUCCAGACCACCAGACUAUUGUUUCUAUCACAAGAUUUCUUUUUGAAUGAUUGUGAGUAAAUGAAUAUCAUACAUAUGAACUGUGGAUUAAUAGAAUCAUGGUUUAUUUUACACAUUGAGGAUCUAUUACAAGGAUCAAUCAAAGAAAAUAUAGAUAAAAGGGUUCUCUGGUAGGAAGGGAACAAUAAGUUUAUUUACUCAACUUUAAGCUAAUUAUGACUUUUAAAUGCUGAAACCCCAAACUUAAAAGACCUGAUGAUGGGCUGAAGCUUGUCCCUCUCAGGAAACAUGUGAUGGUUUUUGAAUGAAUAGACACAUUCAUUUGGAAAUUCCAAGGUUUAUUGAAACAAUCAGCAAAUCAGCUGUGCUUAAUUGUUUAAAUGGGUUUUCUGAGGAAAAUGAUGGACUUUCUGCUUGGUCAAUUGACUAACAGACUGAUAUGAAAUAAGUUCAGAGCAGUAGUUUGGGAAUCAGUGCCACUAUUUCAUUUCCAUUCCUACGUACAGUGAAUUUAAGCCUUGCGACUCACAAUACUUCCUCGCCCUACUAAGAGAAAUAGUGAUUCUCAUGCUAAGAUUUGAUAGUCAAUGUUGCUAAGCUACAAUUCCCUUAAUGAAAUUUGACUUUUUCUUGACCAUUUGUUUCCUUUUCUUUCUGAUCAAAGCAGAACCGGUGAUAUUUCAAGAGACAUUUAUUUUGGUGUCAUUUAUUUAAUUAUGACUGUUUAAAAGUGCUAUUCACAAUACCAUCACAUCUCCUAAGACUGUUUUCACGAGUUAAAAAGGAGUUUGGAAAUGUGAUUAAACAUAUUCAUGUUACGCGUUAAUUUUUUCCUAACUGCUUUUGGUCGUUUGUUUUGUUGUUUGUUUGUUUGUUUGUCUGUUUUCUGGUAGUUUCCAUGUUGUUGCAUGUAAUGUAAUCCCAUCUGUGUUAGCUCUUUUCUUUGGUGUUUUAUCAUUCCAUGUAUUUUCUGUAGAUAAGAGUUGUGAGUUUAAAAGUUUUGACGUCCUUUUAUCUGCGAUUUUCUAGAUUUUGGAAGGAAGUGAAGGGGAAGGAAAUAGACUCAAGAUCACUUUCUCGUCUAAAGCAGACGGUAACGCAGAAAUCUCAAUUUUAAAAUGACAGUCAAGGGGGAAGAGAAUGUUUCCUUCAGACUGUAAGAGAAGGAAAGAAGAAAAUAAAAGGUCCAAGAAAGUAUCAGCGUGGAAAGGGAGAAAUCUGCUAACAUUCCAAACUAACGCGUUCAGGACUCGUGUUCCUCAGAACAAAGAUUGACGGGGGAUAUGAUUUGACGCAAGAUUUCGGCUGUCUUUCACCUCUGAAAAUUUGCUUUUGGUGGAUGAGUUGCUUUGGGAAAGAUUAGAAUUUUUAUCUCCUUUUUCAAGGCUGCCUGAAAGAUCACAAGUGAAGAAGAUCAAGAGAGACGAGAUUAUUUUUUAUUCUGGUUUCUUCGACCACCCAAAGCUGAUACCAAGGAACACGAUCACCCUAAGAAUUAUACCAGCGACAAAUAUAAAUCUUGGAAAGAAAUCAAAAUUGGAUCGACUCCCAAUUCAGGGAAUAAAAUGAAAAAUUGGGGGUCGAUCCGUCCACCAUCCGCCACACCCCCCUCUAUUAGAAAGUUUAUAACACUUAUCUACCCGUCCACCACCUCUCCCCAUACCCGCCACAUUUGGUCAGUUUUCAUAAGGGGUACAAAAAUCUUUUAAUAUACUAGCACUACAGUAAAUAAUUACCAUACAAUCUUUUAAUAUGUAUUACAAUGGUAAUAUUACAAUCUUUCUCUAACAAUCAUAUAAUACAGUAAUAUUACAAUUAUUUGAUACAG
rnacentral:lncRNA from 1 species